GAUGUUGGGUUAAGUCCCGCAACGAGCGCAACCCUUGUUCACUGUUGCCAGCACGUUAUGGUGGGGACUCAUGGGAGACUGCCGGGGUCAACUCGGAGGAAGGUGGGGAUGACGUCAAAUCAUCAUGCCCCUUAUGUCUUGGGCUUCACGCAUGCUACAAUGGCCGGUACAAAGGGCUGCGAUACCGCGAGGUGGAGCGAAUCCCAAAAAGCCGGUCUCAGUUCGGAUUGGGGUCUGCAACUCGACCCCAUGAAGUCGGAGUCGCUAGUAAUCGCAGAUCAGCAACGCUGCGGUGAAUACGUUCCCGGGCCUUGUACACACCGCCCGUCACGUCAUGAAAGUUGGUAACACCCGAAGCCAGUGGCCCAAACGUGUUAGGGAGCUGUCGAAGGUGGGAUCGGCGAUUGGGACGAAGUCGUAACAAGGUAGCCGUACCGGAAGGUGCGGCUGGAUCACCUCCUU
rnacentral:rRNA from 14 species